AGAGUUUGAUCCUGGCUCAGGAUGAACGCUAGCGACAGGCUUAACACAUGCAAGUCGAGGGGCAGCACAGGUAGCAAUACCGGGUGGCGACCGGCGCACGGGUGAGUAACGCGUAUGCAACUUACCUAUCAGAGGGGGAUAACCCGGCGAAAGUCGGACUAAUACCGCAUGAAGCAGGGGCCCCGCAUGGGGAUAUUUGCUAAAGAUUCAUCGCUGAUAGAUAGGCAUGCGUUCCAUUAGGCAGUUGGCGGGGUAACGGCCCACCAAACCGACGAUGGAUAGGGGUUCUGAGAGGAAGGUCCCCCACAUUGGUACUGAGACACGGACCAAACUCCUACGGGAGGCAGCAGUGAGGAAUAUUGGUCAAUGGGCGUAAGCCUGAACCAGCCAAGUCGCGUGAGGGAUGAAGGUUCUAUGGAUCGUAAACCUCUUUUAUAAGGGAAUAAAGUGCGGGACGUGUCCCGUUUUGUAUGUACCUUAUGAAUAAGGAUCGGCUAACUCCGUGCCAGCAGCCGCGGUAAUACGGAGGAUCCGAGCGUUAUCCGGAUUUAUUGGGUUUAAAGGGUGCGUAGGCGGCCUUUUAAGUCAGCGGUGAAAGUCUGUGGCUCAACCAUAGAAUUGCCGUUGAAACUGGGGGGCUUGAGUAUGUUUGAGGCAGGCGGAAUGCGUGGUGUAGCGGUGAAAUGCUUAGAUAUCACGCAGAACCCCGAUUGCGAAGGCAGCCUGCCAAGCCAUGACUGACGCUGAUGCACGAAAGCGUGGGGAUCAAACAGGAUUAGAUACCCUGGUAGUCCACGCAGUAAACGAUGAUCACUAGCUGUUUGCGAUACAGUGUAAGCGGCACAGCGAAAGCGUUAAGUGAUCCACCUGGGGAGUACGCCGGCAACGGUGAAACUCAAAGGAAUUGACGGGGGCCCGCACAAGCGGAGGAACAUGUGGUUUAAUUCGAUGAUACGCGAGGAACCUUACCCGGGUUUGAACGCAUUCGGACCGAGGUGGAAACACCUUUUCUAGCAAUAGCCGUUUGCGAGGUGCUGCAUGGUUGUCGUCAGCUCGUGCCGUGAGGUGUCGGCUUAAGUGCCAUAACGAGCGCAACCCUUGCCACUAGUUACUAACAGGUAAAGCUGAGGACUCUGGUGGGACUGCCAGCGUAAGCUGCGAGGAAGGCGGGGAUGACGUCAAAUCAGCACGGCCCUUACAUCCGGGGCGACACACGUGUUACAAUGGCGUGGACAAAGGGAUGCCACCUGGCGACAGGGAGCGAAUCCCCAAACCACGUCUCAGUUCGGAUCGGAGUCUGCAACCCGACUCCGUGAAGCUGGAUUCGCUAGUAAUCGCGCAUCAGCCAUGGCGCGGUGAAUACGUUCCCGGGCCUUGUACACACCGCCCGUCAAGCCAUGGGAGCCGGGGGUACCUGAAGUGCGUA
rnacentral:rRNA from 1 species